rnacentral:rRNA from 1 species
GAAAUCGGGAUUAAUGCUCCAUAACAUUUAUCAUUCGCAUGUUUGAUAAAUUAAAGUUCCGACGGUUAGAGAUGGGCAUGCGUGACAUUAGUUUGUUGGUGAGGUAACGGCUCACCAAGACUACGAUGUCUAGGGGUUCUGAGAGGAUUUUCCCCCACACUGGUACUGAGACACGGACCAGACUCCUACGGGAGGCAGCAGUAAGGAAUAUUGGGCAAUGGACGAAAGUCUGACCCAGCCAUGCCGCGUGCAGGAUGACAGCCCUACGGGUCGUAAACUGCUUUUAUACAGGAAGAAACCCUACUACGUGUAGUGGGCUGACGGUACUGUAUGAAUAAGCACCGGCUAACUCCGUGCCAGCAGCCGCGGUAAUACGGAGGGUGCACGCGUUAUCCGGAUUUAUUGGGUUUAAAGGGUGCGCAGGCGGAAUGAUAAGUCAGUGGUGAAAUCCUACAGCUCAACUGUAGAACUGCCAUUGAUACUGUUAUUCUUGAGUACAGUUGAAGUAGGCGGAAUGUAUCAUGUAGCGGUGAAAUGCAUA